rnacentral:lncRNA from 1 species
GCCACAAACACCAGUUUCUAUUUCCUGCAAGCAUUGUGUGAUCUCACAGAGCCCUGGAUUUACAUACAGCGUAUCAAUGUCUGGUUAACCACUUUCCUCGCUGCUGGAAAGCUCUGAUGACUCAGGAAUCAUUUUAACACUACUCAUUCCUGUCAGGGUUGGGAACCUCAGGGGAUCCUCAGGAUUAAAAGAAGCUGUAAAAAGAUGGUUCAUUCUACAUGGAGAGCAGAUCCUGGCCAUUGGUUAUGAAAUGGAGGUGGAAACUAAAGUCGAAGAGCGUAUUUAAGUUUGGAAGAACAUUAUGCAUUGUUAUAGACAAGUCCUGCUAUGAAGAGAAUAGCAGAACAGGUUCCUUCCAUUCUGUGGUUCAUCUCCUAGCCAUGGGGUCAUCUGCUUACAGCCAGUAGAAGAAGCGUAGAGAAGACAUGCUUACUUCUUUACCAUGAAGAAGUGAUUCCAUGUCACUUCCCACAUUCCACUGAUUAGAACAUUGCCAUAUCUGGAUGGAAGUAUGACCAGAAUAUACUGUCCCUGCCUGGGUAGCCACCCUGCAGUGACAAGUUUACACCUUGGAAGGGGAAACACAAAGGUUUGCUUUUGACAGCCAAUUACCACAGACAUCUUUGGCAAUUCACUAAGCAAUUCAUGGGGAUACUUCUGUCGGAGAAAUUUUCUGCUUGGUCUCUGAAACCUAUGGCUAAAUUCUCUAUAUCAUUCUGAUCCCUACUGCUACCUUAAG